CCUACGGGAGGCAGCAGUGGGGGAUAUUGGACAAUGGGGGGGAACCCUGAUCCAGCGACGCCGCGUGAGUGAAGAAGUAUUUCGGUAUGUAAAGCUCUGUCAGCAGGGAAUAAAGCAAUGACGGUACCUGACAAAGAAGCCCCGGCUAACUAAGUGCCAGCAGCCGCGGGAAUACGUAGGGGGCAAGCGUUAUCCGGAAUUACUGGGUGUAAAGGGAGCGUAGACGGCUGUGCAAGUCUGGAGUGAAAGGCGGGGGCCCAACCCCCGGACUGCUCUGGAAACUGUAUGGCUGGAGUGCAGGAGAGGUAAGCGGAAUUCCUAGUGUAGCGGUGAAACGCGUAGAUAUUAGGAGGAACACCAGUGGCGAAGGCGGCUUACUGGACUGUAACUGACGUUGAGGCUCGAAAGCGUGGGGAGCAAACAGGAUUAGAUACCCUUGUAGUC
rnacentral:rRNA from 1 species